rnacentral:rRNA from 1 species
CCUACGGGAGGCUGUAGUGAGGAAUAUUGGUCAAUGGACGAGAGUCUGAACCAGCCAAGUAGCGUGAAGGAUGACUGCCCUAUGGGUUGUAAACUUCUUUUAUAUGGGAAUAAAAUGUUCCACGUGUGGGAUUUUGUAUGUACCAUAUGAAUAAGGAUCGGCUAACUCCGUGCCAGCAGCCGCGGUAAUACGGAGGAUCCGAGCGUUAUCCGGAUUUAUUGGGUUUAAAGGGAGCGUAGGUGGAUUGUUAAGUCAGUUGUGAAAGUUUGCGGCGCAACCGUAAAAUUGCAGUUGAAACUGGCAGUCUUGAGUACAGUAGAGGUGGGCGGAAUUCGUGGUGUAGCGGUGAAAUGCUUAGAUAUCACGAAGAACUCCGAUUGCGAAGGCAGUUCACUGGACUGCAACUGACACUGAGGCUCGAAAGUGUGGGUAUCAAACAGGAUUAGAUACCCCAGUAGUC